rnacentral:rRNA from 1 species
UACGUAGGGGGCGAGCGUUGUCCGGAUUUAUUGGGCGUAAAGAGCUCGUAGGCGGCUCGGUAAGUCGGAUGGUGAAACCUCCAGGCUCAACCUGGAGACGCCAUCUGAUACUGCCGUGGCUUGAGUCCGGUAGAGGAGCAGGGAAUUCCUGGUGUAGCGGUGAAAUGCGCAGAUAUCAGGAGGAACACCAGUGGCGAAGGCGGCACUCUGGGCCAGUACUGACGUGGAGGAGCGAAAGCGUGGGGAGCGAACAGG